GCUGCUAUGUUUUCUGAUCCUAACAUGGCCAUGGAUAUGAUGAAGAAGAACCUUUCCAUGAUUAUUCCUCAGACUCUCACUUUUGCAUGGGUCAACUUUUUCUUCUCUGGAUUUGUCGCAGCCAAAAUACCG